UCUUAUGGAGGCAUGAUUCUUUUUGGAGUUUCAAAUAACUACUUACACUUUUUUUGAUUUUGAUUUUGAUGAGAGUGAUAUGGGGUUGAAAAGAGAUUGGCACGGCUACAUGAAUGUCAGGUUGGGGGUUGUAGUUGAUCGGGUCACUAAGUCAAUGCAUUUUAUUGCUACUAAGAUGAGACAUACAUAUUGUAUUGUUUGGCGCGGUUGUAUGUUAGGGAGAUUGUUAGACUUCAUGGUGCACUUGUAUCAAUUGUGUCGGAUUGUGUCCCUGUUUUGUAUCUAAAAUUUGGAGUGCCAUACUGGCAGCGAUGGGUAUUUGUAUACUUUUUAGCUCUGCUUACCACCCUCAAACUAAUGGUCAGAUUGAGAGGACUAUAUUGACUUUGGAGGAUUUAUGGAGAGCAUGUACCUUAGAGUGGAAAGGAAAUUGGGAUUAUCAAUUGCCGUUGAUGGAAUUUGCAUACAAUAACAGUUAUCAUUCGAGUUUGGGAGUUGCUUCAUAUGAGGCUUUGUAUCGACGGAAGUGUAGAUCACCUAUCUGUUGCCUUAGAGUGGAAAGGAAAUUGGGAUUAUCACUUGUCGUUGAUGGAAUUUGCAUACAAUAACAUUUAUCAUUCGAGUUUGGGAGUUGCUCUAUAUGAGGCUUUGUAUAGACGGAAGUGUAGAUCACCUAUCUACUUGGGUGAGGUUCAAGAUCGGCGACUUUUUGGGCCUGACUUGGUUGAGGAUACAACUCAAAAGAUUCCACUGUUCGGGAAAGACUCGUAACAGCUCAGAGUGGACAAAAAAGUUAUGCGGACAAUCGUAGGAGGGAUUUGGAGUUUGCAAUAGGAGAUGUGGUGUCCCCAUAGAAAGGAGUUACUUGGUUUGGCAAAAAGAGAAAGUGAGUCCUCGCUAUAUUGGGCCAUUUGAGGUUUUGGAAAGGAUUGGUAAGGUGGCUUAUUGUUUUUGUGUUAUCGCAUAGUUUUGGCUAAUGUUCAUAAUAUUUUUCAUGUGUCGGUGUUGAAGAGGUAUGUGCAUAGUCCGUCCCAAGUUAUCGAUUACGAGCCACUUCAUAUUCAAGAAAAUUUAACCUAUGAUGAACAACCCGUUGAGAUUCUUGAUACAAAGGAAAAUGUGCUUCGCAACAAAACAAUUCUAUUGGUCAAAGUGUUGUGGCACAAUCAUGAGAUUGAAGAAGCUACAUGGGAGCAUGGCAAAGAGAUGCGCGUGAAGUACCCACAUUUGUAUGCAUGAAGUAAGUAAGUAAUUUCGAGGACGAAAUUUAUUUUAAGGGGGGAAGGAUUUACGAUCUAGCAUUUUUUUUUUAUGUAAUGUAAUUAUUUAUAUUGCCAUUUAUUAUUGGGUAUUAUGGUUGGGUCGUAAUUAUUUAUUUUUGUGCUUUUUAUGGGUAUUAUUGACACGAUUGUAAUUCUUGGAGUAUGAGAUUGAUUUUGGGUAAAAAGGUGGUACUGAAUGGUAAUUCUAUAAAUUUGUGUUUGGUUAGAUUGGAUUUUAGGUAAUUUAUUUUUCUUACUUAUCUACAUAAAUUCUAAUAACCUGAUUAGCUAUAAUCGUGGGAGACGUGGGUUAGUGCUUCAGUUUACAUAUUCCUAUAUAUGUUUAAGAGUUAGGGUUUAGUUCUUACAACGACUCUUGUAGGUUGAACAACUUCUCCUUGAACAGGGCAGUUUACCCACCAUUCUCACUAUCUCUCUCUCUCUCUCUCUCUCUCUCUGGUCUGAAAAAUCCUGUUAGGCUCCCUCUGUUGUAUUUAUGCAUCCAUUCCCAUUUUUUGAGAGUGGUAUUUUUGUUUCACGGCCAUUUCAAAGGUUAGAUGGUUAUUCUUGCUUCAAUUUCACCAUUAGUUUACUUUUUAUGUUUCCCAAUUGUUUUGCGAUGAAGACAGAAGAUCCCCAUGCAAACUUAUGAAAGGAGUCCUUAUGAUUUUGGCUACUAACUAUUCUAUACAAUCUUCCAAUGACAGCGAAAAAACUCUCCUUAUCCAAUUCAUGACAAUUGCUUAUAAAUGCUCUAAUUCAUGAAUGAUUAUACUUUCACAAUUUAUUAUUUCCAUUAAAUGCAUUUUGCCCCCUUUUCCUUGUCCCUUCUUUUCAUCGAAUUUUAAUGUUAUAAAUUUAAAAGUUUCCUCUUAUGCAAAUGUUCCUGUAAGUAGUUUAGGAAUUGCAACUUUGAGUUGUAAUGGAUGACCUCUCAUAUGAAAGCGUAGGACCAUUUGAACCUUCUAUUUUUACCAUUUUGAGUUGUUUACAUUUUUUCUUUUACUUUUUUGAAAAGCAUUUUGGGUUAUUUACUUGAUCUUUGGUCCAUGUUGACCAUUACUGUUUCUGCGGCACACAUGAUGCACGUGCAUAUUGUACCAAAUGAAAUAGAACAAUAUCUUAAACUAAAAACCAAAAUGAGUAAUAAUAGUAUUCAAAUGAGCAAUAUCACUAUCUAUCUAUACAAAUAAUAGGGUACAAACCUGCGUACUCCAAUGACAUUGACACAUCAUUUUGAAGAAGACACUAAAAUGGAAUCUCCCUUUAAUUAUUUGUCCCCUAAUUUGUCAUUUGCAUAUUUGGUAUUAACUAUUGAACUUACUCUAGCUACAGCCAUUGAAUUCUCCUUUCAUGCUUCAUUUCGUCUAUAAAAAGUCUACUUCUCCAUACCAAAAGCUUGUUUACAUUCAAAAGUUUUAAGUUUCUGACCAAUUGUCUUGUCCCAUAAGGCGAGAAAUGUGAGAAGCUAGAAUUGAGAGGACUCACCGAAGACCAAAAAGCUCUGGCGUUGAAGUUUUGGAAUUCAAUGAGAGGAAUGAUGGAUAAUUUGGUCUCAAAUCCUCCUUCAAGUAAUUAGUUUUGGAAAACCAAAAUCCAGCUGACAAACUGGACUGACAUUCUGGAACAAGAUGGAAAUAGAAGAGAAUUGAAGAAUAGUAUGAAGUCUUCGGCAGGUUGAAUUUAAGGCUGUCUCUCCAUAUCCUGACAGGGAUGGAGAGACAGCUUGGAACUGUUCUGAUCAGCGUGGAGCUGUACAUCUUUGUUUAGUAGGGUUUUAGAUAUAUCCAUUUGAUUAGCUACUUAUAACAAGAAAUUUGAAAUCGGUUGGAAUAGCUACCUACAAAAGACUAAAUGGGAUAUAGCAUAUUCUUUGCAAAAUUCUGAGAACUAAAAAGAACUCUAUUUUAAAUAUAUUAUCCUGUGUUGUUUUUGUGUUGUACUACCAUCCUUUAUGCCCCUAGUACCUAAAAAAAGCAGUCUUCACUGGUCCUGAACUGGAUACGGUUAUGGCUCAGAAGUCAAAUAUGUUCACGUGUUUAGCCGGUGAAUUUUGUAUUCACAGUCUCGUGAAAAGUAGUUGGGACAUCGUAUUGCUAAUGUAUGCGAUAUGUCAUCCUUAGAAGUAAUACACGAAUUGGAUCCAUCAAUGUGGGAAGUCCUUUUUAUUGAAGCAAAGUGAGUUUUAUAUGUUUCUGCGGAUUCAUUGUAGUUCAUGUGUCAAUAAGUCACCAUUUUUAUUUUGGAUCAGCCAUAAGCUCCUGCUAUAAUUAGUUUGGAGUCCACGAUUUUCAAUUUUGAAAGACAAUCAGUCAAUACUUACCAAAAGUCUGCUGAAUAAUUAUUCUACUAGCAAUUUGAGUUCAGUUUUUUUGUAUCACCUCUAAAUGCCUUGGAAUGUUUUAUCUUGUGUAACUUCUCCCUGACAAUCUCACACACAGGGACAUCAGACUCGUCCAGCUAGUGAGUUCUUGAUCUGGUAGUGUUUAGUCCGCUACUUUUGUUUUAUGUCAUAUUUUAGUUUGGUAGUUUCUCUAACCAAUUCUGGAAACAAAUAGCAUCACCAGGUGGUAUUAUGUCACCUUCUAGUCUCUACCAAGUACUCUCCACAUCCAUGAUCUUAUUGGGGUUAGGCUGUUAGUGAUUUCAUGUUCACAUCCUUGUUUGCUUUUAAAGCGCUUGUGGCAGCAUUUUGGGUCCACUCCUUUCUAGACUGCCUGUUGCAGGAGCAACAGAUGCAGAUUUGAAGGGCAAGAUGGAUAGAACAGUUGCAUUUCCAUGAAGGGUAGCAAAUUGACUGGAUUAAAAGAGUUGCAUUUCAGCAUUGAUGAAACAUACUUAGAGGCUCGUUUACUAAAUAGUCUCCUUUCUGUAAAAGUGUUCUAUUUUCUGGUUUUUCAUCAUCUAAGUUGCAUAUCCGCAGAUCCGCGUUUGUAUAUUUUGAUUCUUUUCACUACUUUUUCUUCUCAUUAGAUGGGAUUUUAUUUGAGAGAAACAAAUAGGAGAAGACUAGGAUAUCAUGGAAGAUAUGUUAAUUUAUCCCUACAAUUGUAACGUGAACUCAUCAGAGGUUGGAACAGAUUCAAGUCACUAGGUGUUUCACAAUAGCUGCUUCUUAACUAUUGCUGCCGAGACAAGGUCAGUUUGACAUCUUGGUACAUCCCCAGUGGUGGAGUUGCUAUUUGUCUAGAUAGUAUUAUAAUGUAGAAAUCGUAGUGUCAAUUUGUUGAAUUAUAGAAAUGUUCUGUUGUUGGACCGACAGAUACUUUAACCAUAGGCCAUAUACCAUCGGAGCAUAACUUUGAAGCUUCCCAAGUUAUGAUAACCAAAUAGGAUGCCAUUAAAGUCUU